GAUGAACGCUGGCGGCGUGCCUAAUACAUGCAAGUCGAGCGAACGGACGAGAAGCUUGCUUCUCUGAUGUUAGCGGCGGACGGGUGAGUAACACGUGGAUAACCUACCUAUAAGACUGGGAUAACUUCGGGAAACCGGAGCUAAUACCGGAUAAUAUUUUGAACCGCAUGGUUCAAAAGUGAAAGACGGUCUUGCUGUCACUUAUAGAUGGAUCCGCGCUGCAUUAGCUAGUUGGUAAGGUAACGGCUUACCAAGGCAACGAUGCAUAGCCGACCUGAGAGGCUGAUAGCCCACACUGGAACUGAGACACGGUCCAGACUCCUACGGGAGGCAGCAGUAGGGAAUCUUCCGCAAUGGGCGAAAGCCUGACGGAGCAACGCCGCGUGAGUGAUGAAGGUCUUCGGAUCGUAAAACUCUGUUAUUAGGGAAGAACAUAUGUGUAAGUAACUGUGCACAUCUUGACGGUACCUAAUCAGAAAGCCACGGCUAACUACGUG
rnacentral:rRNA from 1 species